rnacentral:rRNA from 1 species
GACGAACGCUGGCGGCGUGCUUAACACAUGCAAGUCGAGCGGAGCGGCGCACGGGUGAGUAACGCGUAAUCAACCUGCCCUUCAGAGGGGGACAACAGUUGGACACGACUGCUAAUACCGCAUACUUAAUGAGGGACUUGCGUCUGAUUAGCUAGUUGGAGGGGUAACGGCCCACCAGGGCGAUGAUCAGGAGCCGGUCUGAGGGAAUGAACGGCAACAUUGGGACUGUGACACGGCCCAGACUCCGACGGGAGGCAGGAGUGGGGAAUCUUCCGCAAUGGACGAAAGUCUGACGGAGCAACGCCGCGUGAGUGAUGACGGCCUGCGGGUUGUAAAGCUCUGUUAAGCGGGACGCGGUACCGGAAUAGAAAGCCACGGCUAACUACGUGCCAGCAGCCGCGGUAAUUC